AAAUAGGAUAAACUGGGAUUGUUGUGGAAUUAAAACAGAUGACUGGAAACAAAUUGUAUUUUUCUUCUUCAUUCAGAAAGUAGGCUUUUCACUCGGGGCUAUAGUUGAGGUACCUAUCCCAAAUUCCAGACGCCACCCCAUCUACCUGUCCGAAAGUAGGCCUUCUCUUCUCCAUCAUCUUUCUCCCGCAGAAAUCCAUGGCUUCCAAGAUGUCCCGCGCUCACAAUCCGGCCGCGGGAGGUUUGCUGCAACACAAAGACGUUCUGGCGAUCGGCGAUCGAAUCUGAACUAUUCUGCUACUACUGUAUCCCUUCCUACCUAGGCGAGAGCAGGGGCCAAAUGAGGCGCGCGGGAAUGACACAAGCGUCAAGGGAAAUCGAUUCCGUGUGAAAAUUGGCGCAUAAAACAGUAGAGAUCGAUUCCGUACCUGGACAAGAAAGAUCAAGGCCUGCCUCGAUCUGCAGCGCGGCGCAGAGCCUGAAUCGGAGAUGUCGGGAUAGCU
rnacentral:lncRNA from 1 species